GAUGAACGCUAGCGGCAGGCUUAACACAUGCAAGUCGAGGGGCAACACGGGUAGCAAUACCUGGUGGCGACCGGCGCAAGGGUGCGUAACGCGUGAGCAACAUGCCCUAUACAGGGGGAUAAUCCAGGGAAACUUGGUCUAAUAUCCCAUAGUAUUUAGAGGUGGCAUCACCACUAAAUUAAAGCUUCGGUGGUAUAGGAUUGGCUCGCGUGACAUUAGCUGGAUGGUGGGGUAACGGCUCACCAUGGCGAUGAUGUCUAGGGGUUCUGAGAGGAAGACCCCCCACACUGGGACUGAGACACGGCCCAGACUCCUACGGGAGGCAGCAGUGAGGAAUAUUGGACAAUGGAUGGAAAUCUGAUCCAGCCAUGCCGCGUGCAGGAAGACGGCCCUAUGGGUUGUAAACUGCUUUUAAUGGGAGCAAUAAGGUUUACGCGUAGACCGAUGAGAGUACCAUAUGAAUAAGCAAUCGGCUAACUCCGUG
rnacentral:rRNA from 1 species